rnacentral:rRNA from 1 species
UACAGAGGUCCCAAGCGUUGUUCGGAUUCACUGGGCGUAAAGGGUGCGUAGGCGGUUGGGUAAGUCUGUCGUGAAAUCUCCGAGCCUAACUCGGAAACUGCGUCGGAUACUAUUCAACUCGAGGAAUGGAGGGGAGACUGGAAUUCUCGGUGUAGCAGUGAAAUGCGUAGAUAUCGAGAGGAACACCAGUGGCGAAGGCGAGUCUCUGGACAUUUCCUGACGCUGAGGCACGAAAGCGUGGGGAGCAAACAGG